rnacentral:rRNA from 1 species
GGACUACAAGGGUUUCUAAUCCGGUUCGCUCCCCACGCUGUCGCGCCUCAGCGUCAGGUAACCCCCAGCCGGCCGCCUUCGCCACAGGUGUUCCUCCCGAUCUCUACGCAUUUCACCACUACACCGGGAAUUCCACCGGCCUCUCGGUCCCUCCAGCUACCCAGUCUCCACCGCCCCCUCCCAGUUGAGCCGGGAGAUUUCACAGCGGACUUAGGCAGCCGCCUGCGCGCGCUUUACGCCCAAUAAAUCCGGACAACGCUCGCCACCUACGUAUUACCGCGGCUGCUGGCAC